rnacentral:lncRNA from 1 species
CUGUUUUAGGUGUCGGCCAAGAGGCUAUGGCAUCACCCUUGAGUGGAUCAACCCGUAAACCUGCUGCAGAGACGACAUAACCGAGAAACAAGACCUCUGAAGCCCCAAACUCGCACUUCUGUUUGGCAAUAAAAAGGUUCUCCCUGCGUAAUGCUAGUAAGACGUCCCGCAGAUGAUCAAGAUGCUCCUCCAUCGUCAUACUAAAAAUUAGUAUAUCAUCGAAAUAGACUACCACAAAGCGUCCAAUGAACUGUAUGAGGGCUUGAUUCAUUACCCGCAUAAAGGUGCUCGGAGCAUUAGACAACCCGAAUGGCAUAACUAACCACUCAAAUAGUCCCUCCGGAGUCUUGAACGCAGUUUUCCAUUCAUCACCGGGGCGAAUCCGAAUCUACCGCUCUUAAGAUCCAAUUUGGUAAAGAAUGAAGCUUUUCCUAUCUGAUCCAAAAGGUUAUCAAGACGUGGUAUCGGGAAUCUAUACCGCGUUGUGAUUUUGUUAAUAGCACGGCUGUCAACUCACAUGUGCCAGGAACGGUCCUUUUUUGGUAUAAGUAACGCCGGGACCGCGCAAGGGCUCAAGCUCUCGCGCAAAUAGCCUUUCCCUAGUAAGUCCUCCACUUGUCACCUCAGUUCCUCAUGUUCUUCCGGACUCAUGCGAUAAUGGGCACGGUUUGGUAAAACAGCGUUGGGAACUAGGUCAAUAUGAUGCUGGAUAUCAUAGAGAGGAGGAAGACCGGACGGAAGCUCCUCCGGAAAUAGAUCUUCAAACUCUUUGAGAAUGGGAGUGAAUGCUGGAGGAUACGGUAGUUGUUGUGGUGGAGGAGGGGUCAUGGCGACGAGGGCAAAUAUCGGGCUGCAUGUACGUAGCUCGUCUUCAAACUGUGAUUUAGAAAUAAUUAACAAGAUUUGCUUCGAAGAGGUGUGCUGUGUGGUGCUCGAGGGUGACUUAUCCGUUUCCGGUGAUGGUAAGAGUGUUAUUUUGCGCCCUUCAAACAUAAACGAAUGAGUAUUCGUCUUGCCGUUAUGCAAAACUUCCCAAUCAUACUGCCAUGGAGGUCCCAAGAUGAGAUGAGAGACAUCCAUAGUCGCAAUAUCACAAUACAAGGUGUCCUUGUAAAAUGGCCCGAUAGAGAAAGAAACCAAGGCACGCUGAGAUACGUAUACUUCGGCGCCGGUUUGCAUCCACAGUAAACGAUAAGGGUGAGGAUGAGCCUCGGGAGUGAGCGAUAAUUUUCGAACAGCUUCUUAGGACACGACAUUUGCCGAGCGUCCUCAAUCAAUAAAAAAACGGCAAAUUUUCCCUUUGACCGUGCAGGUUGAUGUGAACAAUGACGUGCGUUGCCAGGCCUCACUAGUUUUAGGAGCAAUACAAUUCCGGCGUAUCAUGAGGCAAGUACCAGUGUCACCGUGAACCUGCUCUUCGUCGACAUCGUCAAACUGUUCUUCAUCAUCGUCAUAUAUUGGAUCGCCGAUGAUUUCUCUGUCAUUGGCAAACAAACCCCGACGACCAUUAUUAAGAGGACAAGCCGUCUGUAUGUGACCUCUUUCCCCACAUGUGAAACAACGGAGAGCGUUGGGGCGAGAAGGACGAGGCUCAGCUGCUGGCGUGACAGUUUCAGUAGGACGAGCGUUGUUUCGUUGUCCGGUAGUUGAUGUAGCUGUUGUAUCACGCCCUGUAGACGUUUUAGUGUCAUCGGUGGGGGUCGUGGUGCAUAUUCGUGAGUUUCCUUUCCACUGGUUAUUGGUCAAACGUGAUUGUUGUUCAACCAAUAAAGCUCUUUGGCGUGCUUCCGAGACCGAGCUAGGAUCAAACUGGUGUAGCAUGUUUUGUAGUUGAGGACGAAGUCCUGCGAUGAACCGAGCUACCAACUGAUCUUCUGAGUCGUGCACGUCAAUUCGUGUAAGCAUCUGAUAGAAUUCAUUAGCAUACUCCUCGACUGAUCGGGAUCCUUGACGUAUGUUAUGGAACUUUUGGAACAAUAGGCGUUCGAAAUUACACGGAAUGAAGGUUUUCCGCAUAUGUUUCUUAAGCUUGUCCCAAGAGGUGAUUUUAUCUUUUUUCCCGAUGCGUUCUGGAGAGCUUAAGUUGGCCCCACCAUGCUGCGGCGUGACCGCGAAAACGUGUUGUCACAAGAGGCACCUUCUUCUGUUCUGGAACGUCCUUGAAUUCGAUGAUUUCAUUGACGGUCACAAACCAGUCAAGUAAGUCCUCCAGCUGCGACCGUCCACUGAACUCGGGAAUCUCAAGUUUUAAACCCGAUGUCCAGCGUAAGUCAUCGUUGUUCCGGUUAUGUCGAUCGUGUUGUUGUUGACGAUGUGGACGACCAUCUCCGAAUGGGUUUUCUUCGUCGAUAUCGUCAUCUUGCUCAUCAAAAAUGGGAUUGUUGUUGCGGUGUUGCCGUUGUGGUUGAGCUACGUGGGCUGCGUUUGCGGCGAAGGCGGCUUGUACUCCGGCUUGAACUCCGGUUUGAAUUGCUUCAGCCAUCGUUCGUCUCAUAUUAUCUUGAAAACUUUCCUGAAAGUCUUCUAGGAACUGCUGCAUCUGCGUCCAUUCGUUUGGACGAGGUGCCAUUGAAACCAAAGAUCGAUAAUCACGAGUAGAAUCGCAAUUAAAAAGGUCUCUGAUACCAACUAAUGGAGCAGAAGUAUCUGUAGUAACUGAUAACGCGAAGAUAACGUUGAAUUCUGCGAAUGCCCGUUAACUAAGCCUUCUUAAAAUCUGUUGAAUUCUCAAAAAAUGCCCAGAAACUAAGGAUCAAGAGUUGUAUAACACAAAGCUCUAAGUUUUUAUUAAAUCAAAUCAAAGGUAACUAAGAAACAAUAGAAGAGAUCUUUUUAUAUAGGCUCACAGACGAGUCCUAUUUUAAGAAGUAAAAGCCAUAAGAUAAACAUGAAAAACAUGAAAGCCAAACGAUAAGGACACUUAAGAAAAAGAAAGCUUUAAAUAAAACCAAAUAGAAAUAGGAGAUGUACGCUACAUCACAAAUAUUAGAUCUUACGUGUUUAGCUUACAAAUUGUGUGGGUGGACAUGAUAUUAUGUGUUUUUCAUAGAUGAUGUUGUUGUGUGGUGUUGAAUAUUCUAAUAAGUUGGCCGAAUCAUUUUUCUAUUCGGUCUGUUUUCCAAAGAUUUUAACGGUUAGGAUAUCUUUGUUGUGUUAUUAUGGCCUAUGUCAGUGGUGAAUCUACAACCAAAAUGGGAAGGGCAUCUUCCCCUAUAGAUUUUACCAAAAAAUGAAUUUUAUUUAGUAUUUGUAAUGGACUUUGGAACUUUCCACUGGUUAUUGGUCAAACGUGAUUGUUGUUCAACCAAUAAAGCUCUUUGGCGUGCUUCCGAGACCGAGCUAGGAUCAAACUGGUGUAGCAUGUUUUGUAGUUGAGGACGAAGUCCUGCUAUGAACCGAGCUACCAACUGAUCUUCUGAGUCGUGCACGUCAAUUCGUGUAAGCAUCUGAUAGAAUUCAUUAGCAUACUCCUCGACUGAUCGGGAUCCUUGACGUAUGUUAUGGAACUUUUGGAACAAUAGGCGUUCGAAAUUACACGGAAUGAAGGUUUUCCGCAUAUGUUUCUUAAGCUUGUCCCAAGAGGUGAUUUUAUCUUUUUUCCCGAUGCGUUCUGGAGAGCUUAAGUUGGCCCCACCAUGCUGCGGCGUGACCGCGAAAACGUGUUGUCACAAGAGGCACCUUCUUCUGUUCUGGAACGUCCUUGAAUUCGAUGAUUUCAUUGACGGUCACAAACCAGUCAAGUAAGUCCUCCAGCUGCGACCGUCCACUGAACUCGGGAAUCUCAAGUUUUAAACCCGAUGUCCAGCGUAAGUCAUCGUUGUUCCGGUUAUGUCGAUCGUGUUGUUGUUGACGAUGUGGACGACCAUCUCCGAAUGGGUUUUCUUCGUCGAUAUCGUCAUCUUGCUCAUCAAAAAUGGGAUUGUUGUUGCGGUGUUGCCGUUGUGGUUGAGCUACGUGGGCUGCGUUUGCGGCGAAGGCGGCUUGUACUCCGGCUUGAACUCCGGUUUGAAUUGCUUCAGCCAUCGUUCGUCUCAUAUUAUCUUGAAAACUUUCCUGAAAGUCUUCUAGGAACUGCUGCAUCUGCGUCCAUUCGUUUGGACGAGGUGCCAUUGAAACCAAAGAUCGAUAAUCACGAGUAGAAUCGCAAUUAAAAAGGUCUCUGAUACCAACUAAUGGAGCAGAAGUAUCUGUAGUAACUGAUAACGCGAAGAUAACGUUGAAUUCUGCGAAUGCCCGUUAACUAAGCCUUCUUAAAAUCUGUUGAAUUCUCAAAAAAUGCCCAGAAACUAAGGAUCAAGAGUUGUAUAACACAAAGCUCUAAGUUUUUAUUAAAUCAAAUCAAAGGUAACUAAGAAACAAUAGAAGAGAUCUUUUUAUAUAGGCUCACAGACGAGUCCUAUUUUAAGAAGUAAAAGCCAUAAGAUAAACAUGAAAAACAUGAAAGCCAAACGAUAAGGACACUUAAGAAAAAGAAAGCUUUAAAUAAAACCAAAUAGAAAUAGGAGAUGUACGCUACAUCACAAAUAUUAGAUCUUACGUGUUUAGCUUACAAAUUGUGUGGGUGGACAUGAUAUUAUGUGUUUUUCAUAGAUGAUGUUGUUGUGUGGUGUUGAAUAUUCUAAUAAGUUGGCCGAAUCAUUUUUCUAUUCGGUCUGUUUUCCAAAGAUUUUAACGGUUAGGAUAUCUUUGUUGUGUUAUUAUGGCCUAUGUCAGUGGUGAAUCUACAACCAAAAUGGGAAGGGCAUCUUCCCCUAUAGAUUUUACCAAAAAAUGAAUUUUAUUUAGUAUUUGUAAUGGACUUUGGAAUAAUUAAUUAAAUAUGUCCUCCUUACAAUCUCAAACAUGGAGUUUAAUGCUCCUCUUUUUUUUCUUUGAAAAUUUACCUCAUAUGAUAAAACUUUCUAGAUCCACCAUUGUGGGUAAUUGUGAAUAUUGUAUUCUUAUGUGGAUCCAUUAUGGAUUUUUUUUUUCAUUUUAUGCUUGUUUAUUUUUGUUAAUUGUGGAGUUAUUUUGACUGAUAUCACGGGAAAGUUAUGGUUUUUUAUUUGAUAGGGUGUUACGUUAUUAGUACUACGAUUGUAAGGGAGUUAUUUGAUUGUUUAUUUGAUCAUUGACAAUGUUUUGUAUUCUCUCGACAUAUGUGUAAAUUCUAGCUUGGUAUGGGUUGAAUCAAAUUUAUAAUUGGACACUAUAAUGACGAACAUGUAAAGAAGACUGUUGUUCUUUGAAGUUUAAAAUAAUAUUAAGUUAAUUGCAAAAAAUGAAAAUGCAUCUUUGAUUGUUGGAGGUGGUGCUGCAUUUGUUUUGCCUUUGACUGUUGGUAGGCCGUUGUUGUUCGUUUGGGACUCAUGUUCCUUUUAAAACAAUUUAGUUACACUCUUAGGUGCUUAUUGUUUGCCAUGAACUAUUGAAGUAGCAUAAUAUCAUUUUGUAUGACUAAUUGCUAUUUUGAUUGUUGAUUGUUGAUUGUUUAGUGGUUGUAGACAGACCUAAUGUUGAUGGAGGUUGUCGAAAACUUCAGAGUAAACGAUAUUUAUUACACCAAGCUCAGUGUUGAGUGUGGAGCUGUGUGAUAACCUGAAACAUUUAUUUGUGCGUGUAAAUGUGUAUUGUGUAUAUGGUUGUGGCAUUUCCGAUGAGGAGGAAAGGGUGAGUAACGGAAGCACGACAAACUUUUCAUGAUACGUGUAAGCUGUUCGGAUCGUUGGAAAAACAUAAUGUUUUUGCGUGCUAACUUUCGCAAAUCAUCUACAUAGUGAAACGCUCAAUUAAUUGUAAUCGUAGUGAUUACCAUUACAAUCAAUUCUACACAACGUGGUGGUUGAUCUAUAAACUCUCCAACGUUUGACCUUUACGUAAAGUUCUUAUUGUAGUGUUGGUCUGGUUGACUGAAUUUCGUUCAAUCAUAUUUUUCUAACAUCAGUACCUGCGUCGUAAUGUAUGUAAACAACAAACAGUGAAGUUCUUGUAGUGUAUCCGUAAGAAGCUAGUACGCAGUAUUUAGUUACCUUGUUCUUGUUUUUCCUAGGGGGAUAUAGCGGCGGAUUUAGAAGUCGAUCCUCUACCUUGUCUGACUUUGAGUUCAUCAUAUUGGGCCUUGCUUUGUUCUCCUUCGCGAAUACAUGCUCUCUUCAUUAUUGAUUAAGAAAAUAAAAAUCAUUUGUAAAGAAAUUUCUAAAAAGAAUUUUAGUAAAGCAUUGAAGAGUAUUCUCAACUUUUUUUUCAAUAGAUCUCUGGAUCUCAACGAAUCCAGAAAGACAUUGAUCCUUAGGUAUUAUAAAACUAAAUAAGACUUUUUUGCAUAAAUCUAGCUUCAGCUAUGUCAUAUUGUAAUGUAUUCAAUCAUACCCAUCAGAUCGCUCAUCGGUGAAUAUAGUUGUUGAGAUGAAGAAAGUGUAAGUUCUCUUGAAGCUCCUCUGAAGUGUCUUUUGCAGUUUGUCGGCAUCAGCUAUGCCUUCAUCUUCUUUCCCUGAAGAAAAGAAUCCAAUGCCUUUACAUGUAUGAUCCAUGAAAGGCAAAUUAAUGUUAUACGUGUACAUGUCUAUGUUUACUUCAACUGUUAUAUUCCUACACUAUAUUACAAAUCAUUAAUGCUUUUAUCAUCAAAUUAUACAUAAUGUCAUUUUACACACCAAAUAAUAAUUUACAUCUACUUGAUAUUUGGUACAAGUGUUUGACAGACGGACGUGCACAUACGCUAUAUUUUUAGGCACAUAGAAGUUGGAGUAAGACAUAAAUUUGUGAUGAAACUUAUGCACUUUCCUCGGAGGAGAUUGAAUUUUUAUCUUCAGGUACAGAUGGAGGCAUAGGAGAUGCAGAUAAAUGCAAAAGAUACUUAGGAGGAGCCUCAAGAGCACUUAAGCUUCCCUCCAUCAUUUCAACAACUCUGUUCAUCGAUGGGCGAUCUGAUGGGCAUGCUUGAAUACAUGACAAUCCAACAAGAAUCAUCUUCCUUGCAAACUCGUCAUCUUCGUCUUCUGUUAUCUGAUCUUCUAGAAACCUUUUACAAUCUCCCUUUUCAAGACUUUUAUAGAUCCAAUCUGGGAAAUACAUUGAACUACUGUUGUUGUCUGAUACAGAGUUCCUAUUUCUUGCUCCCAUCAUUUCAAGUACCAACAUUCCAUAACUAUACACAUCUGACUUGUGAGAGACUCUCCCGUAGAUUCUUGAAAACACUUCGGGUGCGAUGUACCCGAUGGUCCCUCUUGUCUCUGACAUCCACAAGAUACUUUCUUGACUCCCACAGAGCCUGGCGAGUCCAAAAUCAGAAAUCUUGGGACAGAGAUCUUUUCCCAACAGUAUGUUCUGUGGUUUUAUGUCGAAAUGAACAAUCCUUGUCUUGCAAGCAUAGUGCAAGUACUGAAGGCCUCUUGCAACUCCGAGUGCAAUAUCAUACAUCUUUCCCAUGUCAAUGCGCAGUGAGGGCUGGCUCGUUAUGAACUUAUCGAGUGAACCAUUCUCUACAAAUUCAUAUAUAAUUGCUCUUUUGGACCCUUCAUAGCAGAAGCCUAGCAGAGAAACAAUAUGGAUAUAGGAUGUUCUGCUCAUACUCGCCACUUCGUUAAUGAAAUCUUCACCAUUCGUAUUAAUUUUGUUUUGAGAAAUAUAUUCCGUAGAAUCACUACAAGAAAACACGGACAAUACCGACGGAAAAACCGACCGAAAAAAUCUGUCAGGAUUUUCCAACGGAAUUCCGACGAAAACUUGUCGGAAAUCUACUUCGGCAAAUUCGUCGGAACUUUUCAUAUACAAUUCCAUAUCCCCCUCUCCCGAUUUCUUGAGCGAACGAGUUUGUGAUUUCCUUCACCUCAGCGUAGUUAUAUCGUUUCAGCGGUAUAAGUUCCUCAAAAUUCUCUAUUCUUGGAUGUUCUAAUGCUUCUAUCUUGUUCAGAAAGUAUAUGAGCAUUGAUAGAAUCAAUAAUGUCAAACAUAUAAUGAGGAUUAACACUGCACAUGAAACUGACUAUUGUUAAGUAAAUUUUGUAUUGGAAAGAAUAAAAACAAAAAUUUAUAUUGCUAGAAAACUAACCUCUAGAACCUGUCAAGGGAUAAUUAAAGCUAGUUGGAUCAGCUCCAGCCGAAGACUUUGGGAGUUCACCAGAACUUGUUUUCAUGCAUUUGAAUCCAAGUAAAGAACCGGAGAACUCCUUUAUCCUGUUAGGAUAAAAAGAAAAGUCUUCUUUGCAGCAAAACUGAUUUGCAAACUUGUCGAAACUGCAAAACCCACCGGUUUUUAAACAAUGUUUACAUGGUCUGUCGUUGAUCUUCAGCUUCACUUCGAAUCCUUCUCUCAAUACAUUUCCCAAAUUCCUGGCUUCUUUCUCAGGUAUGAAACCUGCAGGAACAAUAACAUUGGAGAUUGUUCGACAAGACUGGUAGUAAUGUUCAUCGUGAUACACUGAACCAGUCCCUCCAUUUGAACAAGUGAAGUUCUCAAGGUAAUGAAAGCGAGGGUCACAGUUAGAGAAAACGAUGAGGUUCUUGUAAUUUGGGGAUCGCUGAAAGAUUUUAGGAGGAGAGAUUGUGUUGCCCUCCCCCCAUCCUCUUUCUUUCUCUCUCGAGAAAGAGAAAGUAGAGUAUAAAGGAGUAAAUGAUAGAGAAGAGCAGAAGGAAGGUGAAUAAUCUUGUCUUACAAGUUUAAGAGUUUUGAAUGUGUUGUCUAUGUGAAGAACAUUGAAAAAGAUGUUGGAGAUAUUUAUAGAGGUUUUGUUAGAAACUCUGUCGCAGCUAAGCUUCAAUAAUGGAUGGCCACAAGGCUCACCACGAUUCUCUCCCCAGAAGGGGAAUGUUGCGCUGAGGUUUCCACACUCAAAAACAGAGUCGCAUGACAAGAAAGCUUGGUUGCUUAGUGCACAAGGAAAAUUAUGAAACAGGAACAUGAACAAAGUUACAAAACAACACCCUAGUGCUGGAGUAUCCAUCAUUUUGUUUAAAGUAUAAUUCCUUCUGUUUCUUGGAGAAAUGAGGAAGAGUAACAGUAAAAGAAAAUUCUUCAGAAGGAAACACAGCUUAAUUAAUAUCAUAGGAAGAGUUAGGUGAUGGCCAUUAAGGCUUCACCCUCUACAAGGCCUUGCUUUGCUAGACAAAGGUCCUCUGUUUAUUAAACAAAGAAAUGAAAGAAAGGUCUCUUUUUCACACUUUGGUGAGAACACUGGACUUCAGACUAGUCUCCGUUAACCCUACAGAUACGAAUCCUGGAUAAGGACUUUUUGUAAGCUCAGAACCAAUUAGUCUGAAUGGAUUAUCGAGUUUGUUGCUAGUUGAUAACAUUAAAUUUCAAUUAAAUGCAAAGAGAUCAGAUUUCAUUUACUUGUUAAACAGUAAGAACCGGACGAGUCUUUCCAUCUCCAGCAAGAAAGAUAUAAGCAUUUUGUUAAUUUCAAUGAAGUAAACAUUUGGAUUAAAAUUCAGUUAAGACAUACAAUCUUGAAAUGCAAAUUUGCAUUUUGAUUUGAAGUCUUUAUGUUUGUGUCUACUAAAUAAACUUAUUCUUUUUCUUUAAUAAAGAAAGGGAAUUAAGUUUAAAGAAAAUGUAAAAUAAAGAUUUACAAAUACAAAAUGCAUGGGAGACUUGGAUAUGUUGAAAGGCCAAGUCAAGAGUGAAAGUGACAAAUAAACUCGGAGAGUAUAUAUUUUAUACAUUGUUAGCAUUCACCAAUAAUAUUUAGAAGCCUUUCAUUUACUAGUCCUUGUGGAGAUUCGUGUUAACGUAUAAGAAAGACUCAAUCAUUGAACCCACUACUCCAUUACUUUGGAUAUUCCUUGUAAAGAGUCAUUUGAAGCUUUCGGUUUACUAAGACUUCUGAUCCAUGCUUCUUCCAAUACUUUUGAGCUGCGGGCCAUGGUUUCUAAAACCAAUUUAAAUAGGAUCUGUAUCCAAUUUCAUGAAAAAACAAAUGCCUGUUGAAAACUUUGGGAGACGAGAAACUCGUGUAAUCAAAAUUUGUAAUAACAUAAUUUUUGGGGAACCAUAGUUUCUGUGAUAAUCACACAAACACAACAAAUCGAAAAGACAGAAAAAUGUGUGAAGAGUUUUUAUUGAUUUUAGACUGAAUUUUAUGAAAAGCUACCUAAGUACCCCUUUUCAAAGAUCAAGCCAAACAUAGUUCGUUUUAUACAAGAGAUUGAAAUGCUUUCGCAAAAUUCGUCAAAUAACCAGAUACAAAGAAUAAAACAACAAAUCAUGGCAAUAUUGCGUUUAAUACUAGAUUUGCUACACUAAACCACCUAAAAACUAAGUUCUCUAAGGCUAAAUCCGGAUGCAGAACAUGUGGAGUCUAAGAAUUCAUGGUCAAUGUAUCUCUCUUUUCUCUUGUCUUGACCUCUUCUUCAUUUAGUUCUCCAAGGUUGGCCAACUUUCCGAUUUACUAUAAAUUUAGAGAAGUGGUGAGGAGGAGUGGACGGGGACGAACAGGCGAAGACUUAAGGACUAGGAGGAGAGGGAAGGACUAGUGGCGACUAGGAACGAAGGAUGAGUGGACUGAACGGGAUCAAACGGGCAAGGACGUCCGGACGAUGGCAAAUGGGCGAGCACGUGGUCAGGGCGAGCAGGUUCACUGUUGUCUCUUCUUGUCUUCCGUUGGUUGUUCCGUGUAACCCCAUUCAGUUUCUAAUGUUAUUUCGUAAAACGUCGAGUUUUUUAUAUGAAAGUUGUUUCGUAAAAACUGUAUCAUUUUGUUUUACAAAAGUUGUUUCGUAAAAUCUGGUAAAAUCUGGUAAAAUCUGUGUCGUUUUGUUUCACAAAAGUUAUUUCGUGAAAAAUGUUCCGAAGUAACUUAUACGAAAGAUGUUCUAAAUUGUGUCUAUGUUAGUUUUAUGAAAUUUUAUUUCGUAUUAAUUUUGUUUUGAGAAAUAUAUUCCGUAGAAUCACUACAAGAAAACACGGACAAUACCGACGGAAAAACCGACCGAAAAAAUCUGUCAGGAUUUUCCAACGGAAUUCCGACGAAAACUUGUCGGAAAUCUACUUCGGCAAAUUCGUCGGAACUUUGUCGGAAAAUCCUGACAGAAUACUUUCGUCGGUAUUUGGUCAUACGAUCCCGACAGAAAAACGACAAAAAUCUGACAAAAAUAUGACCGUUGCAAAAAAUUGACACAUACCGACAAAAUACCGUCGGAUUGAACAGCCGUUUCACUUCCCGACGGAAUACCGACGAAUUUGCAGCCGUUGCACUUCCCGACGAAAUACCGACGAAUUAUGUAGCCGUUAGUAUCCGUUUAAAUUACCGACGGAACACCGACGGGUUCUGGACGUUAAUUUAGCCGUUAUCAUUCCCGACGGAAUACCGACGAAUAUUUUCCGUCGGGAAGUUUUCCAGAUUCAUUAUAAAUACGACCUCUCCUUCAUUCAUUCAAAUCACAACAAAACAAUAUAAAUUAUGGGUACUCCUUAUAAUUUCCGUUCUUGGUUAGAUCAACCUCAUAUGGAUCCAAAUACAAAUUUACUUACGGAGGAAUACGCACGUGGUAUUCAAGAAUUCAUGGGGGUGGUUCAAAGUCAACCGGAAGCAAGAACAAGUAAGUAUUUAUUAUGUCCAUGUUCUACUUGUAAGAAUAAUAUCCGUGUCAAAAAAAUGGAAGUAUGGAGUCAUUUAUAUUUGAAAGGAUUUACACGUGGUUAUAAGAUUUGGUAUCUUCAUGGAGAAAGAUUUGAGUAUGGUAGUAGUAGCGAACCUCAAACUGCCGAUAGGUUAGAUGAACCUACCACAAAUGUAGAUUUUGGGGUAGGGACUGUUCAGAUGGUAUAUGAUGCAUAUGGAGAAAAUUUACCGUCGGGUGAAGAGGAAGGAGAUAGACAAGAACAACCCAAUUUAGAAAAUUUCCCAUGUGAAGAGGAAGGAGAACGAGAACAACCCAAUCUAGAAGCGAGAAGAUUUUUUGAAAUGUUAGAUGCAGCUAAGCAGCCAUUGUAUCAAGGAUGUAAAGAUGGGCAUUCACAUUUAUCAUCCGCAAGUCGAUUGAUGGCGCUAAAGACUGACUAUAAUUUGGCUGAAGAAUGUGUGGAUGCGAUUGCAGAUUUUGUUAGAGAUGUUCUACCUGAAGAUAAUCUUGCACCUGGCUCAUAUUAUGAGGUACAAAAAUUGGUCGCUGGUCUUGGCUUACCAUAUCAGGUGAUAGAUGUAUGCAUCGAUAACUGCAUGAUUUACUGGAGAGCAGAUGAGAACAGGGAGAAUUGUAAAUUCUGUCGGAAACCUCGUUAUCAGGAUACAAGUGGAAGAGUUCCGGUGCCAUACAAACGAAUGUGGUAGUUGCCGUUGACUGAAAGAUUAAAGAGGUUAUAUCAGUCUGAACGAACAACAGAACCAAUGAGAUGGCAUGCAAAGCACUUAACAAAUUGUGAGAUAACACAUCCUUCCGAUGCAGAGGCGUGGAAGCAUUUUUUUUUUUUUUUGAAACACAAUUAUAAUACGUUUCUAAAUAAUAAAAAAGCUUACUAAUGUUUUUUUUUCGUAGGGAUGAACCACCUCCUCUUAUAGUUAGACGUCGUUUUCGCCGGGGUACUUCUUCAGUCACUCAGAGUACGUCACCCGCUAGUAGCCCAGUUGCAGCUACCACUCCUCCAGCAGCCCCCACCCCUCCAGCAGCCCGCACCCCCCCUUCGGUAGCUUCCGGCCCUUCUCAAAAUUCAAGAGGAGGAGGAUUGCCUACUACGAUGACUGUUGCGGAGUUAGUUAGGCAACCUGGCCGAGAAUCGCUUCAGCGCCUUGAUCCAAAUUAUCUUAUUGUCCCAAACACCUCUGGAUGGACCACGCAUGGGAGGCUAUCAUGUCCUUAUUGCCAAGACAACACAGAUGCUUUCCAACUAAAAAAUGGUCGGAAAACGUGUUGGUUUGACUGUCACAGGAGAUUUCUACCACACGAUCAUCCAUAUCGUAAGAGUAAGACAUUGUUUACAAAGAACAAGAGGGUGUUUGACAGUCCACCUGAAGAAGUAAGUGGCAAAAAGUUGAAGGAACAAUUAAGAGAUUGAAGUUAUAGAUUUUGGAUUUCUGUAAUUUGUAUAAAGCAUUUUUUUUAAUAAAAUGUUUUUAAUUAUAUACAAAUCGUUUUUAUUUAUAAAAAAUCAGCAUAUGGUAUAAAAAAUAUUUUUUUCAUUAUAAAAAUUCGUUAAAUUAAUUAAAAAACACAUUUUAAUUAUUAUAAAAAUAUUUUAAUUAUAAAACGUUUCUAAAUAAUAAAAAAGCUUACUAAUGUUUUUUUUUCGUAGGGAUGAACCACCUCCAAAAAAAUGGAAGUAUGGAGUCAUUUAUAUUUGAAAGGAUUUACACGUGGUUAUAAGAUUUGGUAUCUUCAUGGAGAAAGAUUUGAGUAUGGUAGUAGUAGCGAACCUCAAACUGCCGAUAGGUUAGAUGAACCUACCACGGAUGUAGAUUUUGGGAUAGGGACUGUUCAGAUGGUAUAUGAUGCAUAUGGAGAAAAUUUACCGUCGGGUGAAGAGGAAGGAGAUAGACAAGAACAACCCAAUGUAGAAAAUUUCCCAUGUGAAGAGGAAGGCGAACGAGAACAACCCAAUCUAGAAGCCAGAAGAUUUUUUGAAAUGUUAGAUGCAGCUAAGCAGCCAUUGUAUCAAGGAUGUAAAGAUGGGCAUUCACCUUUAUCAUCCGCAAGUCGAUUGAUGGCGCUAAAGACUGACUAUAAUUUGGCUGAAGAAUGUGUGGAUGCGAUUGCAGAUUUUGUUAAAGAUGUUCUUCCUGAAGAUAAUCUUGCACCUGGCUCAUAUUAUGAGGUACAAAAAUUGGUCGCUGGUCUUGGCUUACCAUAUCAGGUGAUAGAUGUAUGCAUCGAUAACUGCAUGAUUUACUGGAGAGCAGAUGAGAACAGGGAGAGAUGUAAAUUCUGUCGGAAACCUCGUUAUCAGGAUACGACUGGAAGAGUUCCGGUGCCAUACAAACGAAUGUGGUAUUUGCCGUUGACUGAAAGAUUAAAGAGGUUAUAUCAGUCUGAACGAACAGCAGAACCAAUGAGAUGGCAUGCAGAGCACUUAACAAAUGGUGAGAUAACACAUCCUUCCGAUGCAGAGGCGUGGAAGCAUUUUCAAUCAACAUAUCCAGAAUUUGCAUCUGAGGUAAGAAAUGUGUAUCUUGCAUUAUGCACAGAUGGUUUCAGCCCAUUUGGAAAGCAUGGAAGACAAUAUUCAUUGUGGCCGGUAAUCUUGACACCUUACAACUUACCACCACAUUUGUGUAUGCGACGAUUUUUUUUUAAUUAAAAAAGGAAUACCGACGGAUACAGUUAUCCGUCGGAAUUUCUACAUAUUUCCGACGAAUAAAAUCCAUCGGUAUUUUCUAGAUAUUCCGACGGAAUAAAGUCGUCGGUUUUAUCUUCAGUUACCGACGGACUUUCUUCGUCGGUAUUUUCUGAAUAUUCCGAUGAACUCCCUUUGUCGGUAUUUUCUGAAAAUUCCGACGAAUUCUCUUUGUCGGUAUUCUCUAUAAAUACCGACGGAUAUGUGUCGUCGGAAAUUUUAGAAAAAAACCGACGGAAUAUGUUCGUCGGUAUUUGCCGACGAAAUAUGUUCGUCGGUAUUUACCGACGAAUUUCCGACGAAUAUCUGUAUACCGACGAGAUGAUACCGACGGACAUUUUUCGUCGGGAUUUCAUCGGUAUGCGACUUUCCCGACGAGAUUAUAAUGGAUUUGUCCAUCGGUAUCGCGCAGUUUUUUUGUAGUGAAUGUUCUACAUAAAAUAAGGUUCUCAUUAAAUCCUUUUGAAAGAAUGUUUUCCGAAUAAUCCUUGCUCGCGCGUAAAUUAUUUUAUACUCUUUCCGGAGAGAGUUAUACGAAGCUUAUUCUGAUUUAUCGUUAUUUAAACUGAAGCCUAUUCUGAUAUAUCGUUAUUUAAACUGGUGCAGCGUAUGUAGAAUUAUUCUCUAAACAUUUCCGGAUCGGUUACAUGAACAACACAUUUUGCUAUGUUUUAAGUGAUCUCAGACGUUGAUAUUUCUAUGACCGAUAUUUACCCCAACAAUUAGCCCUUCAUUUGUUAGAGUUACGUGUGAUUUUGACAAGGUUAUGAUAAGUGUUUAAGCAUGAUCAAAAUUGCUAUGUGAGUCACAGUUCAUAUGUAAACAGUCUACAAAGGUAAAAUCAUAAGUUUCUAAUUGCAAAGAGUAGAGUUGAUGCGUAUCUAUCAUAUUACCGUCUCUUUUCUGUCUCGGCUUGUUUAUAUUCUCAUUCUAGGUCUCAUCUUUCCAUCUUUCCGUAGACUUGUAUCUAUUAUAGGAGAUAUAUGUCAUUAGGGUCAUAAUUGUAAUUAGUCAAUACCUAAUCACUUAUGUACUCUGUAUAAAUACUGUACUUGUACAUAUUAAUAAGGUAUUCAGCCUCCAUUUAUACAUGGUAUCAGAGCUCACGAUACCUUGAUUUUUUUUUCCGCCGUUCUUCACACCCUCUUCUUCUUCUUCUCUUCUCUUCAUCCUCUGUUUCUCUUAACUCUCUGUUUCACAUCAUCUCUCUCUCAUCAAUCAUGUCGAACGAAUCUCCUGCUUCAUCCACUGAGACGAUCAUUGUCUCCAACACUCGUACGUUGCUCAACGUUAAUAUGGCUAACAUCACAAAGGUGACAUCUACAAACUUCAUUAUGUGGAAGCGUCAAGUAAACUCUCUCCUUGACGGCUAUGGUCUAGCGGGUCAUGUCGAAGGAUCCAUUGAGAUCCCACCACCGACUCUUACGGUUGAUGGUCAAGUCACUAUCAACAAUGAGUACUUGCUGUGGAAGCGCCAAGAUAACCUCAUCUACAGCGCCUUACUUGGAGCCAUCACAACACCGGUGCAAGCGCUCCUCUCAACCACUACCACUGCUGCAGAUAUCUGGAAUACUCUCUCUGCAACCUAUGCUAAGCCGAGUCAUGGUCAUAUCCUCCAGCUGCGACAACAACUCAAACAGUGGACGAAAGGAACCAAGUCCAUUGAUGAGUAUAUGCAAGGACUCACAAAUCGCUUUGAUCAAUUGGCACUCCUUGAGAAGCCGCUGGAUCAUGAAGACAAGAUCUAGUUCAUUCUCACAGGUCUCCCAGAUGACUACAAGACAGUGGUCGAUCAGAUUGAGGGCAGAGACACCACUCCUCCCCUAACAGAGAUCCAUGAAAAGCUCAUUCAACAUGAACUGAAGCUAGCGAUGAAGUCUGAGACACUAUCUCCUCUGCCGGUUACGGCGAACGUGGCGAAUUACCGUGGUCACAACAACAACUCCAACAGCAGCCGAGGUCAUGGCAGAUCCAACAACCGUGGCUCUUACAACAACAACUGGAGCAAUCGCAGGAACAACUCCAAUAAUCAGGGUUACUCCCCGCGACCGUAUCAGGGACGUUGCCAAAUCUGUGGUAUUCAUGGCCACAGUGCUCGUACCUGUUCUCAGCUCCAACUUCAUGGAAGUUCUGGAAACUCGAACCAGUCAUCUGUGUCCUCCUAUGCUCCUUGGCAGCCUCGGGCUCAUCUUGCGUCUGCAGCGGCAUACAAUGCUAACAACUGGCUCCUACACAGCAGAGCAACACACCAUCUCACCACAGACCUCAACACCCUGGCUCUUCAUCAACCCUACAACGGUGGAGAAGAGGUCAUGACUGCUGAUGGCACUGGCAUGCCCAUCACGCACACUGGUUGGUUCAGCACUUCUUCCUACCCCUCAUCGCUCUCUUACUUUGAAUGAUGUGUUAUAUGUACCAAAUGUUACGAAAUACCUGAUCUCGGUUUAUAAAAUGUGCAAUACUAAUGGAGUUUUCUUUGAAUUCUUUCCUGCACACUUUCAGGUGAAGGAUCUCAGCACGGGGGUUCAGUUGCUUCAAGGCAGAACUAAGAAUGAGUUGUAUGAGUGGCCGAUUCAACCUUCCUCUCCAAUGUCGUUGUUUGCUUCAUCUUCGUAGAAACCUGAUCUUCUCUCUUGGCAUGCUCGACUUGGUCAUCCGGCCUUACCAGUCUUAAAGUCUUUAGUUUCGAAAUUCUCUUUACCAGUCUCAUUGUCGUCUGCAAACGAUUUGUCUUGUUCGGAUUGUUCUAUCAAUAAAAGCCAUAAGCUACCAUUUUACUCAAACACAAUUGCCUCUUAUCAUCCUCUUGAGUAUCUGUAUACAGAUGUGUGGUCGUCUCCAAUUGUGUCAAUUGAUGGCUACAAGUACUAUCUUGUCAUUGUUGAUCUGUACACUCGCUAUACCUGGCUGUAUCCACUCAAGCUGAAAUCGCAAGUCCAUGACACAUUCAUCAGAUUCAAGGUGCUGGUUGAGAACAGAUUCAAACACAAGAUAGGUACUCUAUACUCCGACAAUGGUGGUGAAUUCAUUGCCUUGCGUCAGUUUCUGUCGACUCACGGUAUUACGCAUCUUACUACUCCUCCUCAUACACCUGAGCUGAAUGGCAUAUCCACUUAUGUACUCUGUAUAAAUACUGUACUUGUACAUAUUAAUAAGGUAUUCAGCCUCCAUUUAUACAUGGUAUCAGAGCUCACGAUACCUUGAUUUUUUUUUCCGCCGUUCUUCACACCCUCUUCUUAUUUUUCUCUUCUCUUCAUCCUCUGUUUCUCUUAACUCUCUGUUUCACAUCAUCUCUCUCUCAACAAUCAUGUCCAACGAAUCUCCUGCUUCAUCCACUGAGACGAUCAUUGUCUCCAACACUCGUACGUUGCUCAACGUUAAUAUGGCUAACAUCACAAAGGUGACAUCUACAAACUUCAUUAUGUGGAAGCGUCAAGUAAACUCUCUCCUUGACGGCUAUGGUCUAGCGGGUCAUGUCGAAGGAUCCAUUGAGAUCCCACCACCGACUCUUACGGUUGAUGGUCAAGUCACUAUCAACAAUGAGUACUUGCUGUGGAAGCGCCAAGAUAACCUCAUCUACAGCGCCUUACUUGGAGCCAUCACAACACCGGUGCAAGCGCUCCUCUCAACCACUACCACUGCUGCAGAUAUCUGGAAUACUCUCUCUGCAACCUAUGCUAAGCCGAGUCAUGGUCAUAUCCUCCAGCUGCGACAACAACUCAAACAGUGGACGAAAGGAACCAAGUCCAUUGAUGAGUAUAUGCAAGGACUCACAAAUCGCUUUGAUCAAUUGGCACUCCUUGAGAAGCCGCUGGAUCAUGAAGACAAGAUCUAGUUCAUUCUCACAGGUCUCCCAGAUGACUACAAGACAGUGGUCGAUCAGAUUGAGGGCAGAGACACCACUCCUCCCCUAACAGAGAUCCAUGAAAAGCUCAUUCAACAUGAACUGAAGCUAGCGAUGAAGUCUGAGACACUAUCUCCUCUGCCGGUUACGGCGAACGUGGCGAAUUACCGUGGUCACAACAACAACUCCAACAGCAGCCGAGGUCAUGGCAGAUCCAACAACCGUGGCUCUUACAACAACAACUGGAGCAAUCGCAGGAACAACUCCAAUAAUCAGGGUUACUCCCCGCGACCGUAUCAGGGACGUUGCCAAAUCUGUGGUAUUCAUGGCCACAGUGCUCGUACCUGUUCUCAGCUCCAACUUCAUGGAAGUUCUGGAAACUCGAACCAGUCAUCUGUGUCCUCCUAUGCUCCUUGGCAGCCUCGGGCUCAUCUUGCGUCUGCAGCGGCAUACAAUGCUAACAACUGGCUCCUACACAGCAGAGCAACACACCAUCUCACCACAGACCUCAACACCCUGGCUCUUCAUCAACCCUACAACGGUGGAGAAGAGGUCAUGACUGCUGAUGGCACUGGCAUGCCCAUCACGCACACUGGUUGGUUCAGCACUUCUUCCUACCCCUCAUCGCUCUCUUACUUUGAAUGAUGUGUUAUAUGUACCAAAUGUUACGAAAUACCUGAUCUCGGUUUAUAAAAUGUGCAAUACUAAUGGAGUUUUCUUUGAAUUCUUUCCUGCACACUUUCAGGUGAAGGAUCUCAGCACGGGGGUUCAGUUGCUUCAAGGCAGAACUAAGAAUGAGUUGUAUGAGUGGCCGAUUCAACCUUCCUCUCCAAUGUCGUUGUUUGCUUCAUCUUCGUAGAAACCUGAUCUUCUCUCUUGGCAUGCUCGACUUGGUCAUCCGGCCUUACCAGUCUUAAAGUCUUUAGUUUCGAAAUUCUCUUUACCAGUCUCAUUGUCGUCUGCAAACGAUUUGUCUUGUUCGGAUUGUUCUAUCAAUAAAAGCCAUAAGCUACCAUUUUACUCAAACACAAUUUCCUCUUAUCAUCCUCUUGAGUAUCUGUAUACAGAUGUGUGGUCGUCUCCAAUUGUGUCAAUUGAUGGCUACAAGUACUAUCUUGUCAUUGUUGAUCUGUACACUCGCUAUACCUGGCUGUAUCCACUCAAGCUGAAAUCGCAAGUCCAUGACACAUUCAUCAGAUUCAAGGCGCUGGUUGAGAACAGAUUCAAACACAAGAUAGGUACUCUAUACUCCGACAAUGGUGGUGAAUUCAUUGCCUUGCGUCAGUUUCUGUCGACUCACGGUAUUACGCAUCUUACUACUCCUCCUCAUACACCUGAGCUGAAUGGCAUAUCCGAACGGAAGCAUCGACAUGUGGUAGAGACUGGUCUUACCCUACUUGGUCAAGCUUCAAUGCCAAAGACGUACUGGAGCUACGCCUUCGCUACUGCUGUUUAUCUCUUAAAUAGGAUGAUAACUCCAGUUCUUGGCAAUGUCUCUCCCUAUCAGAAGUUAUUUGGUCAGCCGCCUAACCACCACAAGCUACGUGUGUUUGGAUCAGAAUGCUUCCCUUGGCUGCGCCCUUAUACCAAACACAAACUGGAACCCCGUUCAGCAUCUUGCGUGUUCAUUGGAUACUCUCUGACGCAAAGUGCGUAUCUCUGUCUUCAUCGCGAAUCUGGUCGUAUCUACACGUCGCGACAUGUAGUCUUCAAUGAGAAAAGGUUUCCGUUUGCAUCUCCUGUCUCAGGUACGACUGCUUCAGCUGAUACUUCAGAUCAGAGAACUGGGUUUGCUCCAACGACAAUGGUACCGGUACGGCCACUCAUCAACACUUCGCCCUCGUGCUCUGCUCCUCACCAACACAGUCCGUCUGCAACUCCUGUACCAGACGCGAUUCCGUCUCCGAUAUCACCACAACAACAACACCACACUCCUCCGGUGCUUCAGCCGCAACAAGCUCCUGAACCUCACCCACAAACAUCAUCACAUACCCAACCUACCGCAUCCCUUAAUUCCCAGACCUCACCGAGCCAAGGCUCUUCUACCUCACCCUCUACAUCCUCUUCCCCUCCAUCUCCAACCCCACUUCCACCAGCUCCCACUCCACAACCAAACCCGAAUCUCCAUACUAUGAAAACUCGUUCAAAGAAUAACAUUUCAAAGCCUAAAAACAAAACCUCUCUCACUGCCACCAUACCAAAACUCCGACCAAAAAUUCCCAAAACCGUGGCUGAAGCACUCAAGGACCCGAACUGGAGACAGGCAAUGUGUGACGAGAUCAAUGCUCAGUUACGAUAUGGCACUUCUGAACUUGUUCCACCUGAAAAGUAUCAGAAUGUCAUUGGUUGUAAGUGGGUAUUUACGCUUAAAUAUAAAGCUAACGGUGAACUUGACAGGUAUAAAGCUCGUCUGGUGGCAAAGGGUUUUCAUCAGCAACUUGGACAUGAUUUCACGGAGACGUUUAGCCCUGUUAUCAAGUCCACCACCGUCCGCUCUGUCUUCCAUGUCGCGGUCACUAAGGGUUGGCGUCUUCGUCAAAUUGACGUAAAUAAUGCUUUUCUGCAAGGAACUCUGGAAGAGGAGGUCUGUGUCACACAACCACCAGGCUUUGUUGAUCAAGAUCGACCACACUAUGUCUGUCGCUUGAAGAAAGCCCUCUAUGGGCUCAAACAAGCGCCGCGCGCAUGGUACCAGGAACUCAGGUCUUAUAUUAUGACUGCAUGGUUCUUGAACUCCACUGCAGACACCUCUCUCUUCACAUAUCACCGCGGCUCUGACAUUAUCUAUGUUCUGGUAUAUGUUGAUGAUAUGGUAAUUACGGGCAACAACAAUCGUGUCAUUGAUGCGUUCAUUGCGGCCAUUUCAACUUGGUUCUCACUUAAAGAUCUUGGUGAGCUUAGCUACUUUCUCGGCAUAGAGGCAACCAGGACCUCCAAAGGCUUGCACUUGAUACAGAAGAAAUAUGUGCUCGAUCUGCUCACUCGCACGAACAUGAUAGAUGCGCGCCCGGUCUCCACUCCGAUGUCUCCAACGCCCAAGUUGUCUCUAAAUUCAGGAACCCCGAUGGAUAAUCCCAGAGAUGCCAGUGAUAUACUGUGAUAAUGUUGGUGCCACCUACCUUGCUGCCAAUCCUGUAUUUCACUCGAAGAUGAAGCAUAUAGCCCUUGAUUUUCACUUUAUCCGGCACCAUGUGCAAUCUGGAGCGCUACGAGUCUCCCACCUCUCGACUAAGGACCAGUUGGCUGAUGCUCUCACUAAACCACUUCCUCGACCGCGCUUCCAAGAACUUUUGUGCAAGAUUGGAAUCACUCAUGUUACUCCAUCUUGAGGGGGUGUAUAGGAGAUAUAUGUCAUUAGGGUCAUAACUGUAAUUAGUCAAUACCUAAUCACUUAUGUACUCUGUAUAAAUACUGUACUUGUACAUAUUAAUAAGAUAUUCAACCUCCAUUUAUACAUCUAUCAUCUUUCUAUUUUUCUCUUUAUUAUCUCCAAUAUCCAAGUCUAUACUUUUCGGAAAUCUUCAUUUUCCCCUUUUUUUUUCCCUUAUUCCUCUCAAAGCAAGUAAACCUUCAUUGAUUUGGGCUUUCAUUUCAAAAUGUUUUAUGAUUUAGGUCUUUUAAGUAUUUCCUGAAAAUGUCGUCGUUUCACUCCACGGUUAUUUUGGUGUCGUUGGAUUACGAAAUGAUGAAAAUAAUUUUUUUGUCGAAAAACUAUUUGUUGUUUACGUUUAACCAUUUUUAUUCAACCUUUUGGCUAGUUUUACGUAAUUUUUUUCUCAUUGUUUGUAAUAUUUUUUACUGGCAACUUUGUUACGAAGAGCGUUAAAGACACGAAUCAGGAGAAGACACUAUGAAUGGAGAAGUGUGUGACGAUUCUAGGGAGAGUGGGCGACGACUCUACAGGAGAGUGGGCGAUGACUCGAAAUGGGUGAGGAGUAAAGUGGGCGACGACUCUACGGGAGAGUGGACGAUGACUCAUUGCUCGUUGUUAAAUUAUUUAAAAGUGUCUGUCUAACUAAAACGUUUUUUAUAUAAUUAAUUAAUUAUUCAAUACAUUUAAAAAAAACUUGUUUCUCAUUUUGUAAAUUUUAAAACUUUUUUAGAUAAUGUUUUGUUAAAAUUGAUUUUAGAAAAAUUUUAAAUAGUUUUUGGAUUAUUUUUUCUGUUAACAAAGUUUAUUUUUAAUUUUAUAUGGCAGGAAAUGCAGGAAACAUUCCCAAGGCGCUCGACAACAACGUCCCACCCAAGUUGGUGUGAAUACUGUAUCAGCGUCUGGAUUUCUUGUAUCUUCUCCCGCACCAAAUUUUCAAACCUUGGUCUCUUGGGAAGUGCCAAUUACCAUGAGCGUCUCGGAGUUAGUUCAACAACCUAGACGAAAACUUCUGACGAGACUCCAUCCUCAUGAGCGGACGGUGCGAUGUGGUAAAUUUUUCUUUAUUUAAACUACACAUUCCUUUAAUUCUUUUUCUUAGGUUCAAUUACUCAAGCAACUGAAUUAGCGAAAGUAUUUUGAAGAUGAUGUAUAUAAUGCUGAAACACGCUUAUCUGACAUACAUGGACAAGACAAGGGAUGAUCGAUGUUAAUUCUUCUAAUUGUUUGAUUCAUGAUUAUUGACUCUUAACAGUUUUUAACUAAUAUUAUUUUUAUUUCUAUUUUAAUAAGAGUUCACUUGGAAACUGUAGCCCAUGACUCGAUCAGGUGGAAAAUGCAUUCCACCAUCAUGCACAAAAAGCAUGACAACUAUCAAAUCAAUGAGUAGAAACAGAAGCGGGUUGUCGGCAAGACGCCAAAGUCAAUCAACCCAAUUGUUUGGGAGGGAUUGAAGGAGUAUUUGGCAUUAACGAAUGCACAUGCUACUUUCUAGACCAACUCAGGUAACCGGCGUAGCGACCAUCGCUUGGUCAGGUUAGGUUGUGGAGCACAAUCCUUUUUUUUUAUCCAUGUCAGCUUUGUAUACUGCUGACCUCGAACUUGUUCAAGAGCUCAAGAAGAAAAUGUACGAAUGCGUUGGAGAAGAAAAAUGAAGCAAAUACGGCUCAUAAUGUGGGACACGCCCGUCAAAUCAUAGAGGACAACAAAUUCAUGCAAGCGAUGCGUCGUUGCAAGUUUGGCGACUUUCGGUUUUUUUUUUCAAACUCUUAAAUAUUGGUUUCUUGUUAAAAAUAUUAAAGUAUUUGGUUUAAUAUUUUCGAAUUAUAAAUAUUAAAUAUUUGAAUUUUAAAAAUUAUGUCGGGAAUUCGUUGGGAUAUUCAUCAGGAAUAAUUUCUGACAAACGUGUGAUCUCGUCGGGAGAAUUCUCGACGACCAAGAUCGUCGGAAGAAUUCUCGACGAAAUUUUUGGUUAUGAAAAAAAUUCCCAACGAACCUUUGGUCAUCAGAAAUAAUUAUUACUGAUAACUUAUCGAGAAAAACUACUCACGAGUCACGACCAAGUCGCGUUGGGAAUUCUUCUGACAGAAUUCCAACAACAUUUUCCAUGACCGAUUUUGUCGAAAAUUCUUUUGGAAAGUAGUUGUGGGGAAUUCAUUGCCGUCUUUUUAAAAAUCUCCUAAGAAUUUUUUGUCAAAUGAAAUAAAACCGAUAAAAAGUGGUUAUCGGAAAUCCGUGGAGAAAGAUAAUUCCCAAUGACUUUCCGACGAAUAUAGUCAUCGAGAAUAACUUGUUUUCUUGCAGUGUAUCUUCUGUAUGGCAUCCUCCACAGAUAUGACUAUCACAGAUUUUAAGUGGACCAUCCUUUUCUUCCAGGAUUAACUACGUGUAAGUGAGAUGACAUGCAUGAACUUGAGAAAAAGUACUUUGAUAUUAUUGAAAAAUUAUAUUUUUUUGGUAAGAUGCUAAGUAAAAUUAUAAAAUUUAGAAAACAAUUCCUGUAAAACAAUUAAAAAUAAGAAUAUAGAUCCAUAUGUAUGUGUUAACUAAUAGCGGGGAUAUAUUUAUAUAAUGUAUCUUAUUUCCGAUAACAAUUUACGAAUAAUAUGUAUUAAAGGAUCUCAUACCACGUAAGUAGUGUGAAACAUCAAAUGAUGACUACCUUAUGAAAUGAUUAAAUAAAUCUAUAGUAAAAAAAAAUCUACACAAACCGUAUAGGAUACAAAAUGAUACAUUGGUGCUCUUAUAUUUGAAUAUCUGAUGAACUAAUUAACUUAAGAUGAAAUCUGUGUUUUGUAGGUAAAAUUGUUUCUUGUUCUAUAAAGCAAUUACCACUAACAUUAUCGAAACCUUUUUGUUAAGUUAUGUAGUCUGUUUUCUUAUAGGGAUAAAAAAUUAAAACCUAAUUGCCAUAAAAAUAACCAAGAAGAAGCAACGAUAUAGAAAUUACAUAUAUAUCCAUAAAUCAGACAUUUGACAAUCCGAUAGAAAAUGUCUCAGACAGAAAUCCAAAGAGGAUAAAAACAGGCAAUUGGAAGUGAAAUGAGUAUAGAUUAUUAUAUGAUUAUUUUAGAAAGGAAAUUAAGCACCGGUGAAGCUUGGUGGCUUGUAGGCGAUGAAACUGAUGCACUGGACCUGACGGUUGUUGUCGAAUCCAAUGAUUCUAAUAAAGGCGUUAGGGUACUCCGUCUUGCACUCUUGCACUUCCUUCAACACUUGAGCAGAGUCAGUGCAUCCAAACAAAGGAAGCUUCCACAUUGUCCAAUAACGGCCAUCGUAGUAUCCAGGUGUGCUUCCAUGCUCACGGUACACAAAUCCGUGCUAUAUAGACAUACCAUUCAAAAUCAUGAUUCACAUGGUAUAAAAUGGAUGUUUAGAUACAAGUAAACAAAAUUUUGUUUUUAUUACCUCCAACUCAAAUUCAACACAAGGAAUCCACUUGUUGCGGAGAAGGUAGUCAACUUCUUUGGCCAAUUCAACGUCAGUAAGGUCAGGAAGAUAAGAGAGAGUCUCAAACUUCUUCUUUCCAACUGGUGGCCACACCUAUAAAUCCCAUUUGCAGUUAAUAAAUAGGAAUUCCCUUUUGUAUAUACACAUUUUUCAAUCCGGUACGUUAUUAUAUACUAUUGUUCACUCGGAUUUUCACAUGUACCAGUUCCACAUAAUAAAGGACGGGCCUACAACUCUAGUGAUAUUUACCUUCAUGCAGCUAACUCUUCCUCCGUUGUUUGCAAUGGAAGUAAUAUCAGUGUUGCUUUUGCGGGUGACUGGGAAUGCAGCGGAUGACUUCAAGCCGGUGAAUGGAGCAACCAUGGUGGCUUGAGCCGGUGAGGUAGCCACAGCGGCGGAGGAGAGCAUAGAGGAAGCCAUUAUUACUUCUUUUUCUCUUUUCUAUUACUUGUUUCUCUAUUGCUUUGGUCAUCUAUAUAUAGUGAGGCCGGCAUGAGGCAUAAAGCCCUUAGAUCAAAGAGUGCGGGAUUCAUGUCUGAUGAUAACGUCGUUACCUGCCACAGGAUUAAGGAAAGGUGUUGUCUUGGGAGUCUGCAAUACCUUUUUUCACCAGACCAGACAUUGCCUUCCCGGUAAAUCGUCUAGCUCAAUUUCUGCAGCGACCUACAGACCUUCACUGGCAAGCAGUCAAGCGAAUUCUUCGCUAUCUGGCUGGUACGUCUGCUCAUGGGAUUCUCAUUCGUCCUGAUACACCAUUGAAGCUCCACGCAUACUCCGAUGCCGACUGGGCAGGCGAUGCUGACGAUUAUUGCUCCACAAACGCCUAUAUCGUGUACCUUGGGAGCAAUCCAAUUUCUUGGAGCUCAAAGAAGCAAACGGGAGUGGCUCGCUCGUCUACGGAAGCCGAAUACAGGGCCGUCGCCAAUGCAGCAGCGUAACUACUCUGGGUAUGUUCGCUUUUCACUGGGCUGCGUAUACCGUUACCAGAGAUGCCAGUGAUAUACUGUGAUAAUGUUGGUGCCACCUACCUUGCUGCCAAUCCUGUAUUUCACUCGAAGAUGAAGCAUAUAGCCCUUGAUUUUCACUUUAUCCGGCACCAUGUGCAAUCUGGAGCGCUACGAGUCUCCCACCUCUCGACUAAGGACCAGUUGGCUGAUGCUCUCACUAAACCACUUCCUCGACCGCGCUUCCAAGAACUUUUGUGCAAGAUUGGAAUCACUCAUGUUACUCCAUCUUGAGGGGGUGUAUAGGAGAUAUAUGUCAUUAGGGUCAUAACUGUAAUUAGUCAAUACCUAAUCACUUAUGUACUCUGUAUAAAUACUGUACUUGUACAUAUUAAUAAGAUAUUCAACCUCCAUUUAUACAUCUAUCAUCUUUCUAUUUUUCUCUUUAUUAUCUCCAAUAUCCAAGUCUAUACUUUUCGGAAAUCUUCAUUUUCCCCUUUUUUUUUCCCUUAUUCCUCUCAAAGCAAGUAAACCUUCAUUGAUUUGGGCUUUCAUUUCAAAAUGUUUUAUGAUUUAGGUCUUUUAAGUAUUUCCUGAAAAUGUCGUCGUUUCACUCCACGGUUAUUUUGGUGUCGUUGGAUUACGAAAUGAUGAAAAUAAUUUUUUUGUCGAAAAACUAUUUGUUGUUUACGUUUAACCAUUUUUAUUCAACCUUUUGGCUAGUUUUACGUAAUUUUUUUCUCAUUGUUUGUAAUAUUUUUUACUGGCAACUUUGUUACGAAGAGCGUUAAAGACACGAAUCAGGAGAAGACACUAUGAAUGGAGAAGUGUGUGACGAUUCUAGGGAGAGUGGGCGACGACUCUACAGGAGAGUGGGCGAUGACUCGAAAUGGGUGAGGAGUAAAGAGGGCGACACUCUACGGGAGAGUGGACGAUGACUCAUUGCUCGUUGUUAAAUUAUUUAAAAGUGUCUGUCUAACUAAAACGUUUUUUAUAUAAUUAAUUAAUUAUUCAAUACAUUUAAAAAAAACUUGUUUCUCAUUUUGUAAAUUUUAAAACUUUUUUAGAUAAUGUUUUGUUAAAAUUGAUUUUAGAAAAAUUUUAAAUAGUUUUUGGAUUAUUUUUUCUGUUAACAAAGUUUAUUUUUAAUUUUAUAUGGCAGGAAAUGCAGGAAACAUUCCCAAGGCGCUCGACAACAACGUCCCACCCAAGUUGGUGUGAAUACUGUAUCAGCGUCUGGAUUUCUUGUAUCUUCUCCCGCACCAAAUUUUCAAACCUUGGUCUCUUGGGAAGUGCCAAUUACCAUGAGCGUCUCGGAGUUAGUUCAACAACCUAGACGAAAACUUCUGACGAGACUCCAUCCUCAUGAGCGGACGGUGCGAUGUGGUAAAUUUUUCUUUAUUUAAACUACACAUUCCUUUAAUUCUUUUUCUUAGGUUCAAUUACUCAAGCAACUGAAUUAGCGAAAGUAUUUUGAAGAUGAUGUAUAUAAUGCUGAAACACGCUUAUCUGACAUACAUGGACAAGACAAGGGAUGAUCGAUGUUAAUUCUUCUAAUUGUUUGAUUCAUGAUUAUUGACUCUUAACAGUUUUUAACUAAUAUUAUUUUUAUUUCUAUUUUAAUAAGAGUUCACUUGGAAACUGUAGCCCAUGACUCGAUCAGGUGGAAAAUGCAUUCCACCAUCAUGCACAAAAAGCAUGACAACUAUCAAAUCAAUGAGUAGAAACAGAAGCGGGUUGUCGGCAAGACGCCAAAGUCAAUCAACCCAAUUGUUUGGGAGGGAUUGAAGGAGUAUUUGGCAUUAACGAAUGCACAUGCUACUUUCUAGACCAACUCAGGUAACCGGCGUAGCGACCAUCGCUUGGUCAGGUUAGGUUGUGGAGCACAAUCCUUUUUUUUUAUCCAUGUCAGCUUUGUAUACUGCUGACCUCGAACUUGUUCAAGAGCUCAAGAAGAAAAUGUACGAAUGCGUUGGAGAAGAAAAAUGAAGCAAAUACGGCUCAUAAUGUGGGACACGCCCGUCAAAUCAUAGAGGACAACAAAUUCAUGCAAGCGAUGCGUCGUUGCAAGUUUGGCGACUUUCGGUUUUUUUUUUCAAACUCUUAAAUAUUGGUUUCUUGUUAAAAAUAUUAAAGUAUUUGGUUUAAUAUUUUCGAAUUAUAAAUAUUAAAUAUUUGAAUUUUAAAAAUUAUGUCGGGAAUUCGUUGGGAUAUUCAUCAGGAAUAAUUUCUGACAAACGUGUGAUCUCGUCGGGAGAAUUCUCGACGACCAAGAUCGUCGGAAGAAUUCUCGACGAAAUUUUUGGUUAUGAAAAAAAUUCCCAACGAACCUUUGGUCAUCAGAAAUAAUUAUUACUGAUAACUUAUCGAGAAAAACUACUCACGAGUCACGACCAAGUCGCGUUGGGAAUUCUUCUGACAGAAUUCCAACAACAUUUUCCAUGACCGAUUUUGUCGAAAAUUCUUUUGGAAAGUAGUUGUGGGGAAUUCAUUGCCGUCUUUUUAAAAAUCUCCUAAGAAUUUUUUGUCAAAUGAAAUAAAACCGAUAAAAAGUGGUUAUCGGAAAUCCGUGGAGAAAGAUAAUUCCCAAUGACUUUCCGACGAAUAUAGUCAUCGAGAAUAACUUGUUUUCUUGCAGUGUAUCUUCUGUAUGGCAUCCUCCACAGAUAUGACUAUCACAGAUUUUAAGUGGACCAUCCUUUUCUUCCAGGAUUAACUACGUGUAAGUGAGAUGACAUGCAUGAACUUGAGAAAAAGUACUUUGAUAUUAUUGAAAAAUUAUAUUUUUUUGGUAAGAUGCUAAGUAAAAUUAUAAAAUUUAGAAAACAAUUCCUGUAAAACAAUUAAAAAUAAGAAUAUAGAUCCAUAUGUAUGUGUUAACUAAUAGCGGGGAUAUAUUUAUAUAAUGUAUCUUAUUUCCGAUAACAAUUUACGAAUAAUAUGUAUUAAAGGAUCUCAUACCACGUAAGUAGUGUGAAACAUCAAAUGAUGACUACCUUAUGAAAUGAUUAAAUAAAUCUAUAGUAAAAAAAAAUCUACACAAACCGUAUAGGAUACAAAAUGAUACAUUGGUGCUCUUAUAUUUGAAUAUCUGAUGAACUAAUUAACUUAAGAUGAAAUCUGUGUUUUGUAGGUAAAAUUGUUUCUUGUUCUAUAAAGCAAUUACCACUAACAUUAUCGAAACCUUUUUGUUAAGUUAUGUAGUCUGUUUUCUUAUAGGGAUAAAAAAUUAAAACCUAAUUGCCAUAAAAAUAACCAAGAAGAAGCAACGAUAUAGAAAUUACAUAUAUAUCCAUAAAUCAGACAUUUGACAAUCCGAUAGAAAAUGUCUCAGACAGAAAUCCAAAGAGGAUAAAAACAGGCAAUUGGAAGUGAAAUGAGUAUAGAUUAUUAUAUGAUUGUUUUAGAAAGGAAAUUAAGCACCGGUGAAGCUUGGUGGCUUGUAGGCGAUGAAACUGAUGCACUGGACCUGACGGUUGUUGUCGAAUCCAAUGAUUCUAAUAAAGGCGUUAGGGUACUCCGUCUUGCACUCUUGCACUUCCUUCAACACUUGAGCAGAGUCAGUGCAUCCAAACAAAGGAAGCUUCCACAUUGUCCAAUAACGGCCAUCGUAGUAUCCAGGUGUGCUUCCAUGCUCACGGUACACAAAUCCGUGCUAUAUAGACAUACCAUUCAAAAUCAUGAUUCACAUGGUAUAAAAUGGAUGUUUAGAUACAAGUAAACAAAAUUUUGUUUUUAUUACCUCCAACUCAAAUUCAACACAAGGAAUCCACUUGUUGCGGAGAAGGUAGUCAACUUCUUUGGCCAAUUCAACGUCAGUAAGGUCAGGAAGAUAAGAGAGAGUCUCAAACUUCUUCUUUCCAACUGGUGGCCACACCUAUAAAUCCCAUUUGCAGUUAAUAAAUAGGAAUUCCCUUUUGUAUAUACACAUUUUUCAAUCCGGUACGUUAUUAUAUACUAUUGUUCACUCGGAUUUUCACAUGUACCAGUUCCACAUAAUAAAGGACGGGCCUACAAC